GAUGAAGCUGCUGAUGUUG
rnacentral:miRNA from 1 species